CCGGCACGGGUGAGUAACACGUAUCCAACCUGCCGUCUACUCUUGGACAGCUCUGAAAGGAAGAUUAAUACAAGAUGGCAUCAUGAGUUCACAUGUUCACAUGAUUAAAGGUAUUCCGGUAGACGAUGGGGAUGCGUUCCAUUAGAUAGUAGGCGGGGUAACGGCCCACCUAGUCUUCGAUGGAUAGGGGUUCUGAGAGGAAGGUCCCCCACAUUGGAACUGAGACACGGUCCAA
rnacentral:rRNA from 1 species